rnacentral:rRNA from 1 species
CCUACGGGUGGCAGCAGUGGGGAAUAUUGGACAAUGGGGGGAACCCUGAUCCAGCGACGCCGCGUGAGUGAAGAAGUAUUUCGGUAUGUAAAGCUCUAUCAGCAGGGAAGAAAGAAAUGACGGUACCUGACUAAGAAGCCCCGGCUAACUACGUGCCAGCGGCCGCGGUAAUACGUAGGGGGCAAGCGUUAUCCGGAUUUACUGGGUGUAAAGGGAGCGUAGACGGCGAUGCAAGUCUGAAGUGAAAGGCGGGGGCCCAACCCCCGGACUGCUUUGGAAACUGUAUGGCUGGAGUGCAGGAGGGGCAGGCGGAAUUCCUGGUGUAGCGGUGAAAUGCGUAGAUAUCAGGAGGAACACCGGCGGAGAAGGCGGCCUGCUGGACCGCGACUGACGUUGAGGCUCGAAAGCGUGGGGAGCGAACAGGAUUAGAUACCCGGGUAGUC